CUGCACAAAAAAAUCACUGCCAUGAUGCAGGUGGUUGUGAAAUGCGUUGCUAUGAGGUUGCUAAGGUGUGCUGAGUAGUGUUAAAUUCUCCUUUGCACCAUCUCCGACAUUUGUGUGUGACUGUCAUAUUUGUGUUUAAUUAUUCAAAUGAUUAUAAUUUUAUUUGCAUAGAAUUAUAAUUUAGGACAUAGUAAGAUAUAAAGGAUGCUCGUAGUUUUGAUUGGAAUGCAUCACACCUGGUCUGGCGGUCCCUUGCGGACAAAUAAUUCACUGUAUCCAAAGCUCAAAUCAGAUCUGAAAAAUGACUCGUAUGAUCAGAAAUCCACGCAGCUCCUGAACUAUUGUCCACUGAAAAUGGCCAUUUGUCUGAGAUAUAUUCAUCUUUGUAGCUGUAUGGUAUUCUGGGUGGUUGCUAGGGUGUUCUGGGUGGUUGCUAGGGCAUUCUGGGUGGUUGCUAGGGCAUUCUGGUUAGUUUCUUAGGUGGUGGUUGCUAGGGCAUUGUGGGUGGUUGCUAGGUGGAUGCUAAAGUGUUCUGGAUGGUUGCUCUGUAGUUGUUAGGUAGUGGUUAAUAGGGUGUUCUGUGUGGUUGCUAAGGUAUUCUGGGUAGUUGCUAGGGUGUUCUGAAUGGUUGAUUUGGUGGUUGUUAGGUGGUGGUUGCUAGGGCACUCUGGGUGGUUACUAGGUGGAUGCUGAGGUAUUCUGGAUGGUUGCUAUAGGUGGUUGCUGGGGAAUUCUGGGUGGUUGCUAGGGUGUUCUGGGUGGUUGCUAGGGCGUUCUGGGUGGUGGCUACAGGAUUCUGGGUAGUUGCUAGGGUCUUCUGGUUAGUUGCUUAGGUGGUGGUUGCUAGGGCAUUGUGGGUGGUUGCUAGGUGGAUGCUAAAGUGUUCUGGAUGGUUGCUUGGCGGUUGUUAGGUAGUGGUUAAUAGGGUGUUCUGUGUGGUUGCUAAGGUGUUAUGGGUAGUUGCUAGGGUGUUCUGAAUGGUUGAUUUGGUGGUUGUUAGGUGGUGGUUGCUAGGGCACUCUGGGUGGUUACUAGGUGGAUGCUGAGGUAUUCUGGAUGGUUGCUAUAGGUGGUUGCUGGGGAAUUCUGGGUGGUUGCUAGGGUGUUCUGGGUGGUUGCUAGUCUGUUGUGGGUGGUUGCUAGGGCAUUCUGGGUGGUUGCUGGGUCUUCUGGUUAGUUGCUUAGGUGGUGGUUGCUAGGGCAUUGUGGGUGGUUGCUAGGUGGAUGCUAAAGUGUUCUGGAUGGUUGCUUGGCGGUUGUUAGGUAGUGGUUAAUAGGGUGUUCUGUGUGGUUGCUAAGGUGUUAUGGGUAGUUGCUAGGGUGUUCUGAAUGGUUGAUUUGGUGGUUGUUAGGUGGUGGUUGCUAGGGCACUCUGGGUGGUUACUAGGUGGAUGCUGAGGUAUUCUGGAUGGUUGCUAUAGGUGGUUGCUAGGCCAUUCUGGGUGGUUGCUAGGGCACUAUAGGUGGCUGCUAGUUGGUUGCUUACUCAAAAGAAUAAAAAAAAAAAACAAGAAGAAUAAUUGAAGAAUUAAAAACUAAAAAUUUAAAAACUAUUAAACAAACACAAACUCAUGUGACUGGUUGAGUCAGAAGUCGACACGUUAGGUCACUAAAACAAACAGAUCAGUGAUUUAAAAACAUCACAGAUCCACUGUUUUGUAUUUUUUCAAAAAGUCAAAUGACCAAUGACUGACUUAAACGUUGAUGUUUCCCUCUAAAAAGAGAAAAUGCCGACCACUUUUGCCGACUGGCUGUUUCCCUCCAAAAGAUGGCGGCGCCUUUCUCCGUUUGCCAUCUGUUUGGCCGUUAGCUGCUCACAAACUCUGUCUAAUUGCAUUUGCAUAUCCUUGAUUUAGCUGGAGGGGGAGGGGAUAGCAGCUAAUCGCUCGUGAACGAGCAUGCAAAUCUCUCGGCGGGAGAAACAAUCCAUUCAAAGAGGCAUUUUGAGCUGUCAGCACAUUUGAGACGUUGUUGCUCUCGCUGCCAUAUGGAAAGUGAAGCGGGAGGCCCCUCUUAUGCAAAUCCCUCACUGUAGAGACCAAUGGGAGGGAGGCAGACAGAAACGCGACUGGCUAAUAAGUGGAUGGAGCGUAAUUAGUACGUUUGCUCAGCGAGUGGCACCAAAACCCCCAAUAUUAGUGAGCUUUAGAAAUCAUUUACAAUGGCUGUUGUGAUUGCAAUUAUCAUGAUCCAGAAGCAAAAACAUCUAGAGGAGCAUGUUAUCACUUCAUAGUUCAGGACGUUUUAAUGAAGGUUUCAGUUGUGUUUCACUGAAGUAUCCAGAUGUUUCUCCUUAAAAAAAAACAUAAAAAUAGACACAAAUGGGUCAAUAGUUGUUAUACAGUAAGAAGCGUGGGAUGCACACUUAAUCACACACACACACACACACACACACACACACACA
ensembl:lncRNA